UACGUAGGGGGCUAGCGUUGUCCGGAAUCAUUGGGCGUAAAGCGCGCGCAGGCGGCGGUAUAAGCAUGGCGUGAAAGCCCCAGGCUCAACCUGGGAGGGUCGUCGUGGACUGUACCGCUUGAGGGCGGUAGGGGCUGGUGGAAUGCCUGGUGUAGUGGUGAAAUGCGUAGAGAUCAGGCGGAACACCCGUGGCGAAGGCGGCCAGCUGGGCCGUCCCUGACGCUGAGGCGCGAAGGCGUGGGGAGCGAACGGG
rnacentral:rRNA from 1 species